AUUGAACGCUGGCGGAAUGCUUUACACAUGCAAGUCGAACGGUAGAGGGGGCAACCCCUCGAGAGUGGCGAACGGGUGAGUAAUAUAUCGGAACGUGCCCAGUCGUGGGGGAUAACGUAGCGAAAGUUACGCUAAUACCGCAUACGAUCUAAGGAUGAAAGCGGGGGAUCGCAAGACCUCGCGCGAUUGGAGCGGCCGAAAACAGAUUAGGUAGUUGGUGGGGUAAAGGCUCACCAAGCCAACGAUCUGUAGCUGGUCUGAGAGGACGACCAGCCACACUGGAACUGAGACACGGUCCAGUCUCCUACGAGAGGCAGCAGUGGGGAAUUUUGGACAAUGGACGCAAGUCUGAUCCAGCCAUUCCGCGUGCAGGAUGAAGGCCCUCGGGUUGUAAACUGCUUUUGUACGGAACGAAAAGGUCUCUCUUAAUACGGGGGACUCAUGACGGUACCGUAAGAAUAAGCACCGGCUAACUACGUGCCAGCCGCCGCCGUAAAAC
rnacentral:rRNA from 1 species